rnacentral:rRNA from 1 species
UAGCUUAACCUUCGGGAGGGCGCUUACCACUUUGUGAUUCAUGACUGGGGUGAAGUCGUAACAAGGUAACCGUAGGGGAACCUGCGGUUGGAUCACCUCCUUAYCUUAAAGAAGC